rnacentral:rRNA from 1 species
GAUGAACGCUGGCGGCGUGCCUAAUACAUGCAGGUAGAACGCUGAAGGAGGAGCUUGCUCUUCUGGAUGAGUUGCGAACGGGUGAGUAACGCGUAGGUAACCUGCCUGGUAGCGGGGGAUAACUAUUGGAAACGAUAGCUAAUACCGCAUGACAACAGUUAUUGCAUGAUAACUGUUUAAAAGGGGCAACUGCUCCACUACCAGAUGGACCUGCGUUGUAUUAGCUAGUUGGUGAGGUAACGGCUCACCAAGGCGACGAUACAUAGCCGACCUGAGAGGGUGAUCGGCCACACUGGGACUGAGACACGGCCCAGACUCCUACGGGAGGCAGCAGUAGGGAAUCUUCGGAAAUGGACGGAAGUCUGACCGAGCAACGCCGCGUGAGUGAAGAAGGUUUUCGGAUCGUAAAGCUCUGUUGUAAGAGAAGAACGAGUGUGAGAGUGGAAAGUUCACACUGUGACGGUAGCUUACCAGAAAGGGACGGCUAACUACGUG